UACUUUCGUAUCAGGGAUCCGAUAUUUUUACAUGUACUUUCUGCUCUAUCCAAGGUUCUCACCGAUCCCGCGCCCAGAUUCACAACUUGUCAGCCUCUUCUCUAUCUCUUCUUUCUUGUUCCUUCGGCCGUUGUUUACAGUUUCUUCUUACCAUAUCAAAUUCAGCAGUUGAUUUCGGAUUUGUCGCAUCUGAUACCUUCCUCAUAUAUCCUUGGCUCAACGAUUCUGCCAUUCUGAAGCUCCGUUUUCAUAUUGGACCUAUUGUAGGUAAAUUAUGCUUUGAGGGGAUGAAGAAAGUCCCAUAUGUGGAUACUGAGGUUGUAAUCAAUGAGGAGUUCUCUUUUUAAUCUGAAUUUGGGCUACUGAUUGAGUUCAUUCCUUUGCUGUUUAAUAGAAGUCUGAGCAAACUAGCUUCAAGGUUGUAUUUGACAUGUUGAUGAAGGAACUCCGGGAACCUGUAGACUUUGAACUUCCAGAUUGGUUUAAUAAGUCGAAGCCAAUGCCCUACAUCUCUAUAAAACGCAAUAUAUAUCGCACGAAGAAGGUCAGGAAACGAUUUGAUGAUGAUGAUGGCAUUUUCUGUUCCUGUGCUCCCUCAGUUGGAUCUUCUAGUGUAUGUGGUAAAGACUGCCUCUGUGGGAUGCUGUUUUCUACUUGCUCUUCAGGCUGUAAAUGUGGAAGCUCCUGCUUGAACAAACCAUUCCAGAAUCGACCUGUGAAGAAGAUGAAAUUGGUAGAGACAGAGAAAUGUGGCUCGGGAAUUGUGGCAGAUGAGGAUAUCGAACAAGGGGAGUUUGUGAUAGAAUAUGUAGGAGAAGUCAUUGAUGACAAAGAAUGUGAACAUAGGCUUUGGAAUAUGAAAGCUCGAGGGGAGACAAACUUCUACUUAUGUGAAAUCAAUCGAGAUAUGGUGAUUGAUGCAACAUUCAAGGGAAACAAAUCAAGAUAUAUCAACCAUAGUUGCUGCCCCAACACUGAGAUGCAGAAAUGGAUAAUCGAUGGGGAAACAAGAAUUGGCAUAUUUGCAACUCGUCACAUUAAAAAGGGGGAACAUCUGACAUAUGAUUACCAGUUUGUUCAGUUUGGUGCAGAUCAGGAUUGUCAUUGUGGUGCUGUUACAUGCAGGCGUAAGCUGGGGGUUCGACCACCCAAACCCAAAAUGGCUUCUGAUGCUGCAUUAAAAUUAGUUGCAUAUCAGGUUUAUCAAAAUGGACGUUUGCAUACAGGAAGUUCUCAUGUUGUUGGUCAACAAAAGCGCUCACACAAUUGCAUUGGUCAAGUUGUUAGGAUAAGUGAGAGGUUUGGGAUUAUAAGGCGGUUUGAUAAAUAUUCCAAAAAGCAUUUGAUCAUGUUUGAGGAUGGCACUGUUCAUUCUUGUGACCUAUCCGAAGAAGACUGGGAACUUGUGAAACUGUGAGGUUUAGAGCUGAAAAUCGGGAUCAUCUUUUUGAUUGCAUGUGCAUAGUUCUUUUUGAGGCUCUGAUUAACAGAAAUAUGAAGCAGAAUAGACCAAUUAUAACCCAGCUGAUUGCAGACCACAUGUAAUGCAGCUUUCUAGUCUUCUCGAUGCAAGUAUGAAUUAAAUUUGCUCUCUCUCUGGCUGACUGCUUGCACAACGGGUUUUGGUAGGUCGCCAUUGGUAAAUUUGUUCUUGAAGCUAAUCUCCAUACCAAGCUAGACUCAACCUAGCUACUCAUGCUUUGGUUUCCUUCUGAUACUGAGUAGUUGCAUAGUUCUUAAUUAUACGAUGAGUCACUAUGUUGUAUAAUCAAUUCAUCAUCCCUCUGGAUGUGUUUGACUAGCUAAACCCAACUACCCAGGGAUUAGGUGUUUUUUAUUCUCUUUGGGGUAACAAGAUGGCAUUUUAUUUUUUUAUGAUAAGAAAAAAUAGUGUUAGGCUAGACUGUACGAUGAUAUACAUUCACAUAUAUUUAUUCUCUAUCGGAAAGCAAAGCUUGCAAUUUUUUGUUUAUUUAUUUAUUUUUUUAUAACAAA